GUCGCUCAGCGUCGCCCAGCGACUAUUGGAAAUGAAUGACUUCCGCCCGCUUUGUCGCUCGUCGUCGCUGCCGGUGUGAGCGCAGGGUACGACGUCGUGUGUAAUUCAGCAGGGAUUGUAAUUUAUUGCAUUUGGCUUUUAUUUUGGUCAUCAUUUAUGUAUUGCAAGGCAUCGAUAUGGCAACCCCGGGUUGUAGUGAUUGCAACCAAGAAUGCUCAGAGAGCAAUAGGUUGUUGACCUUAGUAACUGACGAUGGCUCCAGCAACGGGGGCGGUGACCAUGGCGACUCCUGCCCAGGUCCAGACCAUGAUCAGGAGGAGCUUCGGAGGAAGCUGAAGUACAUCAUGAGCCCCUGUGACAAGUUCCAGGCCAAGGACUGCAAACCCUAUAAGCUGGGGCUGCAGGUCAUCAAGACCUUCAUCAUCAGUGUGCAGUACCUGGCGCUACUGCAGAGCACCGUGGGCCGCUAUGCAUACGUGUUUGGAGUGGGCGUGAACAGCAGCGCGCUCUCCUUGUGCCAGCACUACUUCAGGAGGGGCAGUAUUGACCCAGCACAUGACACCUUCAACAUCGACCCCCACGUCAUCACUGUUGCCCAGACUGCCUCUCUUUCACACUUUCUUCACAUCCCCCUCUCCCUCUUUCUUCCCCCAUUCCCCAACAGGGCUCGCUCUCUGUGCACAGUGAGAAAGCCACUAUUCAUAUGUAACCAUGGUGAUGAGUCACCUGCUGAGUUUUGAAAAUGAGUCUCAGUCAUUUCCUUUAUCCUGCACUGAAAUAGUGUUUGCCAGCUGCCAUGCAGUGGAUGUUUUUUUUGCCAUGCAUGCAAGGAAAUGAGCAGCUGGGUGGACGAGUGUAUCACAGAACAAACAGCAGAACAAAAGAAACAGCAGAACAGACAUAAAUGAAGGCUUCUAGGUGGUGAUCCAUCAGGUCACAGUCUGGACCUAGAGCCUGUUGAGAGGCAUGAAGUGUUCUUGAGUGAAAGCUCCUCACAGGGAAGCAGUUGUAGCAGAGGAUGGGGAAAGGACCAGACUGAAAGUUGCCACUGUGUUGGUUAGUCAAGCUGUAGGAAGAGCUGGGCAGCAAGGUUUCACAUGCACAAAUGGUGACAUGCAUUCGGUGAACCUGGUGCAGUGUGUGAUCUCUCCUCCUUGAUUUCUCCUGCUGUUUCCCUUAGACUGUGUCGGAGUUACUCCUUUGGCAACUCCUCCAGGUCCUCUCUUCAGUGACUAUAAGAAUUUCACCCUCCAGUUCCACAAACUGAUUAAUGUGACCCUUCAGUUCCAGCUGAAGGCUAUUAAUAUCCAGGCUAUAAUAAAUAAUGAGAUCCC